UACGUAGGGUGCGAGCGUUGUUCGGAAUCACUGGGCGUAAAGGGAGCGUAGGCGGAACUGUAAGUUAGAAGUUUAAUACAUGGGCUCAACCCGUGGUCUGCUUUUAAUACUGCGGUUCUUGAGUAUGGGAGAGGGCGAUGGAAUUCCAGGUGUAGCGGUGGAAUGCGUAGAUAUCUGGAAGAACACCAGUAGCGAAGGCGGUCGCCUGGCCCAAUACUGACGCUGAGGCUCGAAAGCUGGGGGAGCAAACAGGAUUAGAUACCCUGGUAGUCCCU
rnacentral:rRNA from 1 species